rnacentral:rRNA from 1 species
AGGUUAAGUUAGAAAGGGCGCACGGUGGAUGCCUUGGCACUAGGAGCCGAUGAAGGACGGUACUAACACCGAUAUGCUUCGGGGAGCUGUAAGUAAGCUUUGAUCCGGAGAUUUCCGAAUGGGGAAACCCUCCAUCCGUAAUGGGAUGGAACCCUUGCCUGAAUACAUAGGGCAUUGGAGGCAGACCCGGGGAACUGAAACAUCUAAGUACCCGGAGGAAGAGAAAGCAAACGCGAUUCCCUGAGUAGCGGCGAGCGAAACGGGAUUAGCCCAAACCAGGAGGCUUGCCUCCUGGGGUUGUAGGACACUCUACACGGAGUUACAAAGGAACGGAGUAAAUGAACAGGCAUGGAAAGGCCGGCCAUAGAGGGUAACAGCCCCGUAGUUGAAACUUCGUUCCCUCCAGAGUGGAUCCUGAGUACGGCGGGACACGUGAAAUCCCGUCGGAAGCAGGGAGGACCAUCUCCCAAGGCUAAAUACUCCCUAGUGACCGAUAGUGAACCAGUACCGUGAGGGAAAGGUGAAAAGCACCCCGGAAGGGGAGUGAAACAGAUCCUGAAACCGUGUGCCUACAAGUAGUCAAAGCCCUAUGACCUUCGGGUCAGGGUAAUGGCGUGCCUUUUGUAGAAUGAACCGGCGAGUUACGAUUACAUGCGAGGUUAAGUUGAACAGACGGAGCCGCAGCGAAAGCGAGUCUGAAUAGGGCGAAUGAGUAUGUGGUCGUAGACCCGAAACCAGGUGAUCUACCCAUGUCCAGGGUGAAGUCCAGGUAACACUGGAUGGAGGCCCGAACCCACGCACGUUGAAAAGUGCGGGGAUGAGGUGUGGGUAGCGGAGAAAUUCCAAUCGAACUUGGAGAUAGCUGGUUCUCUCCGAAAUAGCUUUAGGGCUAGCCUCAUGUUGUAAGAGUCUUGGAGGUAGAGCACUGUUUGGACUAGGGGCCCCCAUCGGGUUACCGAAUUCAGACAAACUCC